rnacentral:rRNA from 1 species
AUUGAACGCUGGCGGCAGGCCUAACACAUGCAAGUCGGACGAGUGGCGGACGGGUGAGUAAUGUAUGGGGAACUGCCUGAUGGAGGGGGAUAACUACUGGAAACGGUAGCUAAUACCGCAUACCAUCGGAUGUACCCAUAUGGGAUUAGCUUGUAGGUGAGGUAAAGGCUCACCUAGGCGACGAUCCCUAGCUGGUCUGAGAGGAUGACCAGCCACACUGGUACGGAGACACGGUCCAGACUCCUACGGGAGGCAGCAGUGGGGAAUAUUGCACAAUGGGCGCAAGCCUGAUGCAGCCAUGCCGCGUGUAUGAAGAAGGCCUUCGGGUUGUAAAGUACUUUCAGCCGGGAGGCGUUACCGACAGAAGAAGCACCGGCUAACUCCGUGCCAGCAGCCGCGGUAAUAC